GGCUUAACACAUGCAAGUCGAGGGGCAGCAUGGUCUUAUCUUGCUAAGGCCGAUGGCGACCGGCGCACGGGUGAGUAACACGUAUCCAACCUGCCGUCUACUCUUGGACAGCCUUCUAAAAGGAAGAUUAAUACGAGAUGGCAUCAUGAGUCCGCAUGUUCACAUGAUUAAAGGUAUUCCGGUAGACGACGGGGAUGCGUUCCAUUAGAUAGUAGGCGGGGUAACGGCCCACCUAGUCUUCGAUGGAUAGGGGUUCUGAGAGGAAGGUCCCCCACAUUGGAACUGAGACACGGUCCAAACUCCUACGGGAGGCAGCAGUGAGGAAUAUUGGUCAAUGGGCGAGAGCCUGAACCAGCCAAGUAGCGUGAAGGAUGACUGCCCUAUGGGUUGUAAACUUCUUUUAUAAAGGAAUAAAGUCGGGUAUGGAUACCCGUUUGCAUGUACUUUAUGAAUAAGGAUCGGCUAACUCCGUGCCAGCAGCCGCGGUAAUACGGAGGAUCCGAGCGUUAUCCGGAUUUAUUGGGUUUAAAGGGAGCGUAGAUGGAUGUUUAAGUCAGUUGUGAAAGUUUGCGGCUCAACCGUAAAAUUGCAGUUGAUACUGGAUAUCUUGAGUGCAGUUGAGGCAGGCGGAAUUCGUGGUGUAGCGGUGAAAUGCUUAGAUAUCACGAAGAACUCCGAUUGCGAAGGCAGCCUGCUAAGCUGCAACUGACAUUGAGGCUCGAAAGUGUGGGUAUCAAACAGGAUUAGAUACCCUGGUAGUCCACACGGUAAACGAUGAAUACUCGCUGUUUGCGAUAUACGGCAAGCGGCCAAGCGAAAGCGUUAAGUAUUCCACCUGGGGAGUACGCCGGCAACGGUGAAACUCAAAGGAAUUGACGGGGGCCCGCACAAGCGGAGGAACAUGUGGUUUAAUUCGAUGAUACGCGAGGAACCUUACCCGGGCUUAAAUUGCAGAUGAAUUACGGUGAAAGCCGUAAGCCGCAAGGCAUCUGUGAAGGUGCUGCAUGGUUGUCGUCAGCUCGUGCCGUGAGGUGUCGGCUUAAGUGCCAUAACGAGCGCAACCCUUGUUGUCAGUUACUAACAGGUUCCGCUGAGGACUCUGACAAGACUGCCAUCGUAAGAUGUGAGGAAGGUGGGGAUGACGUCAAAUCAGCACGGCCCUUACGUCCGGGGCUACACACGUGUUACAAUGGGGGGUACAGAGGGCCGCUACCACGCGAGUGGAUGCCAAUCCCAAAAACCUCUCUCAGUUCGGACUGGAGUCCGCAACCCGACUCCACGAAGCUGGAUUCGCUAGUAAUCGCGCAUCAGCCACGGCGCGGUGAAUACGUUCCCGGGCCUUGUACACACCGCCCGUCAAGCCAUGGGAGCCGGGGGUACCUGAAGUGCGUAACCGCGAGGAGCGCCCUAGGGUAAAACUGGUGACUGGGG
rnacentral:rRNA from 1 species